rnacentral:tRNA from 1 species
GGGAAUGUGGCUUAGUGGUAGAGUGCUUGCUUAGCAAGCAUGAAGUCCUGGGUUCAAUUCCUCAGUACCA